CAGGGCUCCACAUGUGCACGGCUGUGGCCAUCCCCAGCCCGUGGACUUCUGCAGAUGGGCCCCUCUCCCUCAGGGAAGGACACACAGUGGUGGCAGCGAGCUUCCUUAAAAUGCCCUCGUGAGCAGGACACGCGGCCACUACUGAGGAGCAGCCAUGGCCAAGGCAGAGGAGAGGCAGGGGCCCAGCCACAUGACCCUCCUCAAUCCCACCCCAGCCCUCCAGGACUGAGACGCCAGGUGAGGGCGAGCUGGACACACCAGACGGGGAAGGUCAUCGCAUAUUGGGGGGUCACCUGGACACGCCCCUCCUUGCACAGCUGCUCUGGUGGGUGCCCACUCCUCUUCCUCAAUGGCAAGCCGAGCGCCCUUCCCCUCGCUGUUUCUCACCCUGGAGGGCCUGCUCCACGUCCCCAGCGCCGUCCUGAGACCACGCAACACAAUCUGGUGCAGCUUCUUACUGCCCACUGGGGCUGCAAUUGCCGUCUGCCCUGGGAUCUGCCCUGCCCUUCCCUAACCCCGGGCCCUAGUGCGAGCUGCGGCCCUCCCUGGCCACCACAUGGGCUCCUACAAGACGCAGGCCGAGGUCAGGCACGGGAGUCUGAGGGGGCCCCUCUCCCUCUGCUGCAGGGCAUGCCCUCAGUCCCUGCUUGCCCCUCAGCCCCAGGAGCCAGCGGGGCUGGCUUUAUGUCCUCUGCUGGACUCCCUGUCUCUCUAACACCUGGAUCCAGGCUCCCACAUUAAAUUCCUCCUGUAAAAGUGCCAGCUGUGGCCUGUUCACUGGCUGGCCUCAGAGCAUCUCGCGGUCCUGAUGACACAGCAGCCACCGUCCUGUCCCCACUGCAUUCUGAAUUAGUCCUAUGUGGGUGGACGGUCUGCAGUCCCUGGCCCAUCUCCCUCAGCCCAGGGCUCAGCUGGGUGGCUCUCUGGCUGCGGAGGCCCUGAGCACAGGGCUGAGCAGGUCUGAAGCCAGGGAGGCCGAGAGCCUGUCCCACUCCUGCUCCUGGCUCUCACUUGGGCCCUGAGAGUCUCUCAGCUAUAAAACAGGGUCUCUGUGGGCACCGCCCAUGGCAGGGCUGUGAAGAUUCAAUUUCUACUUACGUUGGAUAUGGAUAAACGUGUGUUACGAGCCUAAGCUUAGAAAAAACAUGUGUACAUAUCUAUGUUCAGAACACACACAUGUGCACACCUGCUUCUUGGUGAGUGUGGCAGGCCCGGGCCCUGCGGAGGCUGCCUGGGACUUCCGUCUCCCCAGGGACAGCCCAACUCCAGGUCUUACGCAGGCGUUAACAGAGCCUUUGUGGAAUAAGAGCUCAAACAAUGCUAAACGAUGCUUGAAAAGCAAAUGUGGGGAUCCUGUGGCUGAUCUUUAAUGCUGACUAAAAUUCCAACAGAGAGCCGCGGAGCGUCCUCCCUGAUCAGCACUGCACGCUCCCUGUUCCUGCGGCCACUGUGGCCAUCCCGAUAGCACAGCCUGGAGGGGGGUGGGGGACAGCUGAGGGUAUCUGGGGGCUGGCUCUGGCCUCAGUCCUGUUCUUCAGUACCACCAGGACUGCGCGUUUGGCUGCCGCACACACAGGCAGAUGCAAAACCAUAUUGUAGAGGAAGACAUUUGCAAAUCAGUCUAACACGAUGCUGCAAAUCUAUCUCAGAGCGGCGUUCACUUGUGGUCCAUGACAGAAUCGCAACCACAGGGGCAUCUACAGACCACUGUGAAAGCAGGGUCUGGUUUACUUUACCACAGAGUACGAGGCAGCAUCUCCAAGUCACAGCUACGUCCACGUGUGUGUGCGUGUGCAUGUGUGCGAGCACGUGCCUGUGCGUGUGUGUGUGUGGGGGGGGAGGGGGAUGAAGGGAGGCUAGCAGCAGGGCCUCCGAGGCUCCAGGGCAGAAGCCCUGUGUUUCCGGACAGUGGUUUUUCCCGAUUGGAAUUUUAGUUCUGGGCACUUAAAGGAGACAGGGGGCUGCAGGACACUGCUAAAUCCUUCCCUGUGGUCAGUGAGGUUCCCCUCCGGACGCAAGGUCAGCAGACGCACCACAUUUUCCUUUGUGUUUUUCAAAGCUGUGCUCAAAGUGGUCACGGGGCAGCAGAGGCUGCACACACACUGCCGUCCGGCGGGUCUCCCUGCUGGCUCAUCUGACGCAGGCUCCUUACAUCAGGCUCAUUAUUAAUUACAUGGUGGUCACUACGACCUAAAGGCUCCACAGAGUGAAACCAAACAGAAGCUGUUCUUGCUUCAUUUGACUUGAGUCUUUACUAUUUUCAGAGAUGCCAGGAACACAUUAUAUCAGGGAGCAGUUUUCUAAAACAGCAAUGAAGAACCCUAAGUUUACAACGGAGUCUGCAGCUUGCACUUGGACGUCACGUUCCAAAACGUUCAAUGACGCUGUAAAAUCUCACCCGCGGCAGAAACAACAGACGCUCCCGAGUAUUUGCUGCCAGCAUCCGCCGCGCGCCCAGGAAUGCCCUUGGCAGCACAGAAAAGGAACCGGGGGUGGGGGGAAGCACUGGAAGAUGUUUCAAGAAAAGAGAAUUUUGGAAGCAACCAGAAUCGUGUUCUAAAGAGGGUUUGAUGCGACUCGGUGGCCCCGGGCAGGUGAUUACAAACUGCACUUCCCUCUCCUCCCAGGGGGGACCUUCCUGAGAACCCGAGAAUAAGUCUGUCUGUCCAGUCCCAUGGGUAUUGACCCCCAGGCACUAUGUCACCUGUCCAUCAAGGGACACUCAUGAGAACCACCAGCCCAGGGGGUGUUUUCUAAAGCUCCAGGGAGCAAAGGGACUCCACAGUCCAGUGCGGUGGCCCUCAGCUCCUCGGCCUGCGGCCACCCUCCACAGGGCCUGGCACAACGGCCCCGGAGAGUCGUCACAAGAGGAGACUGGGGUGGCAAACAGGCCAGGGGCAAGACCCCAGCAGGCACGUACUGCACAGAUCUCCAAGGCCACCCUCCUCGCCACCAGCCCUGGAGGUAAAAUAAGAGGCAGUGUGGCAGCCGCGCUCCCAGCCUGGAGAGAGCUGCCUGAACAAAGGCUCAGAUGUGGUGGACAUCGCCCACGAUGGGUUUUACUGUAAGAACACAGAACUGAGAACCGUAAGCAAUCUGCUCAGCGAAUCAGAAAUCCAGCUCCCUGCUUACAAAUAAAGUCACGGUGCCCAUCGGUUAGCAGUGACUCCUAAAGCAGGCUGUUUCUGGAAGUGAAGGCUGAGGUCGGGUUAAACGACCUGUGACUGACACGACAGGUGUUCACUGCUCUUCAUGGGAGGAGCUCCCCAGCCCACGGGCACAGCCCUCUGUGGAGGGACAGGGACAGCUGUGCCCUGCAGUGGGCUCCCACGGUCUUGCUGGAGGCUGCUGGUAAAAUCCAGGAAGUCUGCCAGAAGUCUGCCUUCGUGGUCACACACGGUGCUGUCAGGAAUUCCAUCACAGACUCACAAUAAAGGUGUGAAACUAAGUCAAAGGCACUGACUCCUUCCUGAGUUUCACCACAUUUAGGCGGAAGAAACACCAAGGAGGCCCAGCCUUACAACACAGGAUUGCCAAAGGGCGGAGUCAGGGCUUUCCACCCCUCCCAGGAAUUGGGACCCCCCACCACAGGAGCAGAACCCAUGGUCAGAUCUCGCCACUGCAGCGCUGGGGUAGCCUCCAACCCCAAGGCACAGUUUUUAAUUGAAAAAAGUUUAAGUAAAAACAAGUUUUACUGCAUAGCCUAAUUCUGGGGGCCUAGUUAAGUCUACUCUUCAGCAAAAGGGGAGGAAAUGAUUCAUGCUUCAUCUUAGAGCAGACACGUGGGAGAUUCUGCUUACUGGAGAAUGUAAGCCAGCAGUACUGUUUGCUGAGUUGAUAGAACAAUCCACCCAAACCGAGCUGAUAACUGCGCUUCCCAGGAGGCGGUGAAGUCCAAGUUCACAGACGUCCAGACUUCGUGCUAAGGGAAGUGGUGGUGAGGGGUCAACCUUGGCCGGGCUGCUUGUGCCCUGGCCCCCAGCGUCCUGCCCGGGGGGAGCAGUCUGCCUUCCCUGGGCACCUUGGGCCAGCUG
rnacentral:lncRNA from 1 species